CUUUUCAUCAGUGACAUUUUCAUUGAUGAUUUGUAAAUUUUCAAACAAAGAAAAAUUGUCUCAAGCAGACAAUGGUCAUCAUCUGAACAGCCAGCCAAGAGCUCCACCUAGUGAAGUUGUACACAUAUCACUGUGACUGUGAGCUCCUGUCUCUCUCUCUCUCUCUGUUGUUUCUCUCUCCUUUUCUGUCUGUCUAUAUCUCCCUCUCUUUCUUUUUCCUCUGUCUCUCUGACUGCCUGCCUGUCUAUCUCUGUCUCUCUCUCUCUCUCUCUCUCUCUCUCUCACACACACACACACACUCACACACACACACACACACACACACACACACACACACACACACAAUACCUCAAGCAUACACAUAUCUGAUUACAAAUAUUCACAUAAACUUUUUUUAGAUUCAGGUGUUGCCUGUCCAAAUUCUUUUGAGAAAACAUCAAAAGAAAAACAAUUUCAUCUCUACCUGCCUGCCAGCCAUGUACUAUUCACUGUGAAAUCAGUAACCAGGCAAUGAGAGUAUGGACUGUUCUCAGUCCGCUCCUCUGGAUGUCCCUCUAGGGAGCAUCAUUGUGACAUCAUAAUUAAAACAGUGACAACAACAGCAACAAAAAAUGCCCUAAGUCAGUUUCGAAGGAAAGGAAUCUGCUUCAUCAAGUAAAGGCUCUCACCUCAUAUCUUCUAGAAAGUCCUCAGGGGCAGAUUAUUAGUAUGCAAUUAGCAUAAUAAUAGUGUUGUGUAAACAUAAGAACACCCAAGCUUAAAUAUAAGAAAUGCACAAUUUCCUAUCCUGUGUGUGGUUCCCAAGCAAAAUCUAUUGUCCUUUUCCCAUUCAUUUCUCUUUGUUGGAGAUUUACACUGAUUUGUACACAUCUAUUUGUAAGCUAGGUAUAUGAUCAGGCCUCUACAUAUUAUGUUAGAUGGCACAUUUUAUUAUGGGACAGAGCACUUAUCUUACCUUCAUAGAAUCAGUUUGCUACAAUGCCAGAAUCAGAUUUCCCAAAUCAACUCUAAUUCCUUCAAAUACAUUUCUCUUGCUUCAAAAAGAGACUUUAUGGAUUUUAUGAGUUUUCAUGGUACUCUGAAGGCAGUAAAGACACUUGAUAAGAGUUCAAAGGCAGGUCUAUUUCCAGGAGGGUUCUCAAUCCAUGAAGAAAGCACAUAGGACUCCACAGCACAAUUAUUUUAAUCUGCUAGUAUCGGUUUGAGAUGUUGGAAGUUUACAAAAAAGAUAAAUUAUCUGCAUUAGUAAGAAGCAUUAGGCCUCCUGACUAAACAAGUUUUUCUCCCCAUAAAAUAAGCUCUUUGAUUUUCCAAGAACAUCAUAAUCCAUAUUGUCAUCACUGAUUCAGUCCCUGCCAGGAACAUGGGCAGAUUUACAUAUGCCCUAAUCAAAUAUUUGGGGGCUGGGGAUGCUCACUGCCUAUCUCUGGAUCUGGAUUAUGGGACAUAUUUUGGAUUCCAGCCAGCCUGGAGACUCUUCAUUUCAAAGACAAUAACCACCUGCUAAAAGAAGAAAGAAAGCCAUUUCCUCCUUGACAUUCGUUAGCUUACCAUCAGCAGAAUCUUCUUGCUGCCUCAGAUUGAAAUGUAAUCGCUGCAAGGUUGGAAACUGCGUUAAGCGCCUCAUUGCUGCUGGCUUGUAAUUUUUUUUCUUUUGAAAAAUUACGUACAUAAAGCACUUUUCAUCUCUGUAA